CCUACGGGAGGCAGCAGUGAGGAAUAUUGGUCAAUGGACGAGAGUCUGAACCAGCCAAGUAGCGUGAAGGAUGACUGCCCUAUGGGUUGUAAACUUCUUUUAUAUGGGAAUAAAAUGUUCCACGUGUGGGCUUUUGUAUGUACCAUAUGAAUAAGGAUCGGCUAACUCCGUGCCAGAAGUCGCGGUAAUACGGAGGAUCCGAGCGUUAUCCGGAUUUAUUGGGUUUAAAGGGAGCGUAGAUGGGUUGUUAAGUCAGUUGUGAAAGUUUGCGGCUCAACCGUAAAAUUGCAAUUGAUACUGGCAGUCUUGAGUACAGUUGAGGUAGGCGGAAUUCGUGGUGUAGCGGUGAAAUGCUUAGAUAUCACGAAGAACUCCGAUUGCGAAGGCAGCUUACUAAACUGCCACUGACAUUGAUGCUCGAAAGUGUGGGUAUCAAACAGGAUUAGAUACCCUAGUAGUC
rnacentral:rRNA from 1 species